rnacentral:rRNA from 1 species
AUUGAACGCUGGCGGCAGGCCUAACACAUGCAAGUCGAGCGGAUGAAGGGAGCUUGCUCCUGGAUUCAGCGGCGGACGGGUGAGUAAUGCCUAGGAAUCUGCCUGGUAGUGGGGGAUAACGUCCGGAAACGGGCGCUAAUACCGCAUACGUCCUGAGGGAGAAAGUGGGGGAUCUUCGGACCUCACGCUAUCAGAUGAGCCUAGGUCGGAUUAGCUAGUUGGUGGGGUAAAGGCCUACCAAGGCGACGAUCCGUAACUGGUCUGAGAGGAUGAUCAGUCACACGGGAACUGAGACACGGUCCAGACUCCUACGGGAGGCAGCAGUGGGGAAUAUUGGACAAUAGGCGAGAGCCUGAUCCAGCCAUGCCGCGUGUGUGAAGAAGGUCUUCGGAUUGUAAAGCACUUUGAGUUGGGAGGAAGGGCAGUAAGUUAAUACCUUGCUGUUUUGACGUUACCAACAGAAUAAGCACCGGCUAACUUCGUG